rnacentral:rRNA from 1 species
UACCCGCUGAGUUUAAGCAUAUCAAUAAGCGGAGGAAAAGAAACUAAACGAGGUUUCCCCAA